GAGAUGCCCCAAGCUGAGGGACCUAGAGCCAAUUCUUAUGAAUUGCUCCCACCCUCUGGAAUCCUUCAGCUAUGGGUCAGUGUGUCGCUUCCGCUGCACUCAGGGCUACUUCCUCAAUGGGACGAGCAGGGUGCAGUGCCAGCCUGAUGGGCACUGGUCAGACAAGAUGCCUGCCUGCCAAGAAGAGGCUGCUUCCUAUUUCAAGCAAGUCCUGCUUUACAUGGGUGGUGGAGCUGUGACCCUUGUGGCCCUGUUGCUGACAGGAAUGUUCAUAGCUCUGCUAAUCAAGCGUCUCAGUAACAAAGAGGAAGAAAAAACACUGCUGAAUCCCAUCAGUAACCUGGGAGCCCCUGGUGUCUUUACAAAUGCAGCGUUUGACUCCAACUUUUAAGCUAAAGCAGAAGAUGCCCCCAGGAGAGAAGAUCACUGGAAGGAAAAGGACCUGAAGAUGGUACUCAUGCCUCAAUCCUUUUAGAAGCUGUUUUUAUACCUUACUCCCCAGCUCAGCUCUGCCAUCAUCCAGCCCAAGAACUCACAGUCACUGACAGUCAGGGAUUAAACUAACUCUGGUGCACACAUCCAGUUCUGAUCUGAAAUCUGGGCUCGUUCUUCCUCUGACACUGGGCUUCGGUUCACAAUCCAGUUGUAUCAUGUAAAGGUCCCCAAGCAUGAGUGGUGGGUUAACUGCUGGCUCAGGGAGGCUAGCCCCCCAGUCCCACCCCUUCUACCCGAAGCCCUGCCCCUUCCAUGCCCGCCAGAGCCCAGAGACCCCCCACAGUGGCCGCUGGCCCCUGCCUCAGGCUAGCACCCCCAGUCCUCACCCCCCAGCCCCAGAGAGCAGGGAGGCCAGGCAGCAUGGCCCCAGCCCAGCCCUGGACCGUGAGGAGGCCCGGCAGUGCGUCCCCAGCCUCCCUGGCCCCAGAGCGUCAGGUGGCCAGGCAGUGCAGCCCCAGCCUCCCUAGCCCCAGAGCGCCGGGAGGGUGGGCAGCACAGCACCAGCCCCAGCCGGGGCCAUGAUGGCACAGGGGAAAAGCCGUCCACAGAGUGGGAAGCAGGAGGGGACUGGUGACGGAGUGUGGGUGAGGCCACGCCUGGCUGUUUGGGGAGGCUCAGCCUCCCCCAGCCUAUGAUACCUGCCGCCCAUGUCCCCAACCCACUUGUUCCUUCAUCCACCUGCCUAUUGGAUGCUCGGAAAGGUCCUCAAGACCUGGGACCUAGUAUCUACACCCUCAAUCACUCUCUAGUCCAGGGGUGGUCAAACUUUUUGGCCUGAGGGCCACCUCUGGGAAUAGAAAUUGUAUGGCGGGCCAUGAAUGUUCACAAAAUUGGGCUCGGG